rnacentral:tRNA from 1 species
GCACCUGUAGCUCAGUUGGUUAGAGCGCAUGCUUGACAUGCAUGAGGUCGCAGGUUCGAGUCCUGCCAGGUGCAC